rnacentral:lncRNA from 1 species
CUUGGCUCAGUCACCACAACCUCCGUCUCCCAGGCCACAACCCCCCCACUGCCCCUUCCUCCCCCUUCACAUUGCUCCAUGUGAUGGUUAAUAUUGAGUGUCAACUUGAUUGGAAUGAAGGGUGCGAAGUGUUGUUCCUGGAUGUAUCUGUGAGGAUGUUGCCAAAGACGACUGACAUUUGAAUCAGUGGACUAGAAGAGGCAGACCCACCCUCUAUCUGGGUGGGCACCAUCUAAUCAGCUGCCAGCACAGCUAAAAUAAAGCAGGCAGGAGAAUGUGGAAGGACUAGACUGGCUGAGUGUUCUGGCCUUCAUCUUUCUCCCAUGCUGUAUGCUUCCUGGCUUUGAACAUUGGACUCCAAGUUCUUCGGCUUUUGGACUUUUGGACUUACACCAGUGGUUUGCCAGGGGCUCUUGGGCCUUCAGCCACAGACUGAAGGCUGCACUGUUGGCUUCCCUAUUUUUGAGAUUUGGGAACUCAGACUGGCUUCCUUGCUCCUCAGCUUGCAGAUGGCCUAUUUUGGGACUUCACCUUGUGACAGUGUAUACUCCUUAAUAAACUCCCUUUCACAUAUAAAUUUAUCCUAUUAGUCCUGUCCCACUAGAGAACCCUAAUACACCCCACCUUCCCAGACCUAACCAGUGUAUGUCUUACAUGUACUGAUUCAUGUCUUAUACCUCCAUAAAACAUGGAAAUUCAAGCUGUAGCCAGACCACCUUGGGCAAAUGUUCUCAGGACCUCCUAAGGCUAUGUCAUGGGUAUGUCCUUAACCUUGGCUAAAUAAACUUCUGAAUUGAUUGAGACUUGUCUCUGGUAUUUUUUGGCUUAAAAUUAUAAUUCUUUAUUUUGCUAAUUUUGUGUUUGCUGUGGGGUAAUAGUAUAUGUCUUAAACUUAUCACAAUCUAGCUUCAAGUGAAUUAUACCAUUUCACAUAUACUAUUCAAACCUUACAAUAGUAUACCUGCAUUUCUCCCCUCUCAGUCUUUAUGCUUUUUUGUCAUAUACUUUAUUUGUAUAUACAUAUGUUGCAAUAACAACACAUUGUUAUCAUUCAGUUUAACCAAUUAUCUUUAAAAGAAAUUUACAUGAGGGGAGGUUCCAAGAUGGCCAAAUAGGAAGAGCUCCAGUCUACAGCUCCCAGCGUGAGUGACGCAGAAGAUGAGUGAUUUCUGCAUUUCCAUCUGAGGUACCAGGUUCAUCUCACUGGGGCUUGUUGGACAGUGGGUGCAGCCCAUGGAGCAUGAGCCAAAGCAGGGCAGGGCAUUGCCUCACCCGGGAAGCAGAAGGGGCCAGGGAAUUCCCUUUCCUAGCCAAGGGUAGCCCUGACAGACAGUACCUGGAAAAUCAGGACACUCCAACCCUAAUACUGUGCUUUUCCAAUGGCCUUAGCAAAUGGCACAGCAGGAGAUUAUAUCCUGUGCCUGGCUUGGAGGGUCCCAUGCCCACGGAGCCUUGCUCGCUGCUAGCACAGCAGUGUGAGAUCAAACUGCAAGGUGGCAGCAAGGCUGGGGGAGGGGUGUCUGCCAUUGCUGAGGCUUGAGUACAUAAACAAAGAGGCCAGGAAGCUCGAACUGGGUGGAGCCCACCACAGAUCAAGGAGGCCUGCCUGCCUCUGUAGACUGCACCUCUAGGGGCAGAGCAUAGCUGAACAAAAGGCAGCAGAAACUUCUGCAGACUUAAAUGUCCCUGUCCGACAGCUUUGAAGAGAGUAGUGGUUCUCCCAGUAUGGAGCUGGAGAUCUGAGAAUGGACAGACUGCCUCCUCAAGUGGGUCCCUGACCCACGAGUAGCCUAACUGGGAGACACCUCCCAGUAGGGGCCGACUGACACCUCAUACAGCCUAGUACCCCUCUGAGACGAAGCUUCCAGAGGAAGGAUCAGGCAGCAACAUUUGCCAUUCUGCAAUCGAUUAGCAAUAACAAACUUCUCCACAUUUAUUCACAUUCUCCACAGAAUUCAAAUUAUUCCAUUUUUAACUUCACAUUCUACAGUGAGUUUUUCUAUAGGUAAAUAUUUUCUUAUAUAUGUUCUAUAAAAUUUUUGAUAUUACAAAACAGAAGCUUGGUACAUCAGUUCUAGGUGAAUAUUUUAUCUCCAAUUCUAAAACUGACAUAUUUCCUCAGAAAAAAAUACCUAGGAAAAAUGUCAUUUAUUCAAAAUAUGAAAUUUUAUUAUAAUUGAUGUUUAAUGCAAUUCACUUUACGAAGGUUUUUGUGGUUUUCCCUAAAAUUUCUGUUUUAAUGAAGGCUCCUGAUCAUCCUGGAUGUCGACAAGUUUUCUUCUUCAUGUGACGUCUC